rnacentral:rRNA from 1 species
CUAAGAAUCUUCCGCAAUGGACGAAAGUCUGACGGAGCGACGCCGCGUGGAUGAUGAAGGCGCUUUGCGUUGUAAAGUCCUUUUAUAGAGGAAGAACAAUGACUGUACUCUAUGAAUAAGCAUCGGCUAAUUACGUGCCAGCAGCCGCGGUAAUACGUAAGAUGCAAGCGUUAUCCGGAAUUACUGGGCGUAAAGGGUGCGCAGGCUGUUAAUUAAGUCGGGUGUGAAAUCCCACGGCUCAACCGUGGAACUGCGCCCGAAACUAAUUGGCUAGAGUCUGGGAGAGGAAGACGGAAUUCCUGGUGUAGGAGUGAAAUCUAUAGAUAUCAGGAAGAACACCGGUGGCGAAGGCGGUCUUCUGGCCUAAGACUGACGCUAAAGCACGAAAGUGUGGGGAGCAAACGGG